GCAUCCCGCCAGCCUCCUCCGCCACCUCGCACACAGCCCAGGUCCGCGUGCGGCCGCAGAGCUGCAGGGAGCCAGUUCCACCGGCGCCCCCUGCCCCGUCGGCAGGCCGCGAGGGCUGCAGCCCCAAGAUCUCUAGGCUGUGGCAGCUUGGGGCGCUUUUCCACCUGAGUUCGCCCAAAUACAGUUUUCCUCCGGAUGCGGAGAUGCUGCAGGAUGUUUCUGAUCCGGGCUGCCCUGUCUCCCCGCCUCCCGCCUCCACACCCCCGCCUUCCUCAGAGAACAGCGAGAGCUACUCUUCCCCGGAGCUGCAGAGGACAACUUGUUCCACCCACGCUGCCCUGCCUAGAUUGCACAGAGUUAUGACCGCCUCGUUGCAGCCCGUUCCUAAAUUAGCUACGCCUUUGCUGGGUCCGAAACCCAGAUGAUAGGCUCCGUGGUGGUCUUAAAAUACAUCCACCAAUUCUCUGACAUCCUCUCUUCAAGAAGUGGAGCUUAAUUCCCUUUCCUUUGAGUGCAGAAUUCUGCAAGUCUGCUACAGUGACAUUUCUGGUUAGGAGUCAGCGUGGAUGGGGCACUGAGCAAUAAGGUAAGUUUUACUGUGUGAGUGAGCCCUGGUUUGCCCAAGAUAGUUUUCAUUUAGGCUUCCUGUCCCAAUGUAAUCAUAAGUAGCAUUGUAUUAAUCCAUUCUUGCAUUGCUAUAAAGAAAUACCUGAGACUGGGUAACUUAUAAAGAAAAGAGGUUAAUUGACUCAUGGUUCUGCAGGAGGUACAGGAAGCAUAACACUGGUAUCUGCUUCUUGGGAGGACUUGGAAGCUUAAGGUCAUGGCAGAAGGCAAAGCAGGAGCAAGAGAGCUAGAGAAUUGCUCUACACUUUUAAACAACCAGACCUCAAGAGAACUUACUGUGGCUAGGACAAUACCAUGGGGAAUGGUGCUAAACCAUUCAUGAGAAAUCUGCCCCCAUGAUCCAAUCACCUCCCACCAGGCACCACCUGCAACACGGGGAUUACAUUUCAAUAUGAAAUUUGGGUGGGGACACACAUCCAAACUAUAUCAAGCAUCUUCGUCAUUCUCAGAAGUGUCCCUGUUUGGAUGAUAGGUUACAAUAUCAUGCUACCUAUGGGGUAGGAUGGCGGCACCUAUGGGGUAGGAUGUGGGAACUAUGGGGUACUAAUCUCACCUAAUAUGUACUUAACACUUCACAUUUAUCUCUUGUGGUAUUCAAGUUGAGAAAGGAUGCAGAUUUUAAAGACAUGUGCUUUGGGUUAUUUAGUUAGUAUAGUGUAUUGGGAGCUCAGGCUCUGGAAUCAGAAAAAAAAAAACUGAGUCUGAAUCAAAGUUCAAGAGAUCUUGGCAAGUUGCUUUAUUCUUUGAGCCUUAAUGUACUUAUUUGUAAAAAGGGAAAACUAAGAGCACCUCUCUCAAAGCAGUAGUUGUGGGAAUUAAAUGAGAUAACCUAUUUUUUAAAUUAUUCAUAAUAAUUGUACAUAUUUAUGAGGGGCAGAGUGAUAUUUGAUACAUGUAUACAAUGUUUAAUGAUCACAUCAGGAUAAUUAGGAUAUCCAUCACCUCAUUUAUCAUUUAUUUGUGUUAUGAGCAUUCAAAAUCCUCCCUUCUAUCUUUUUGAACAUAGAUAAUAAAUUGUUACCUAUAGCCACCCCCCAGCAUGAUAGAACAGUAGAACUUAUUUCUUCUACCUAGUAAUUUUGGAGAUGACCUAGACUUCUGUUAGUUUCCUAAAGCUGCUGUAAUAAAGUAUCAUAAACUGGGUGACUUAAAACAACUGAAAUUUAUUGUCUCACAGUUCUGAAGGCUAGGAGUCCCAAAUCAAGGCAUCAGCAGAGCCAUGCUCCCUCUGAAACCUACGGGGGAGAAUCCUUGCUAGCUUCUUGUGGUUGGCCUGCAGAUGCAACACUACAAUCCUCCAUCUUCACAUGGCAUUUUCCCUGUGUCUCUGCACACUGUUCCCUCUGUGCAUGUCUUGUCUGCAUCUGAGUUCAAAUUAUCCUCUCGAUUUUUUUUAUUAGGAUACCUAUCAUAUUGGAUUAGGGUCUACCCUAAUGGCCUCACCUUAACUUGACUACACCUGCACCUACAUCUGUUUCCAUAGAAGGUCACAUUCUGAGGUAGUAGGGGUUAGGACUUCAACAUACCUUUUCAGGGAGACACAAUUUAAUCCAUAAUACUAUUUUUAAAGUAUUUAGUUAUUUGCUUGGCCUAUAAUAAGCUCUCAUUGAUGUUUUCUGCUGAUAUAUCCAAACAGAAAAACACUUUGUUAGGCCAAAAUCAUAUAAGAUAGAGGGAAUUUUGGUCACUGCAAGAGAAACUGCUAUUUGACUUUAAACAUUUAUUUUUCCUUCCUCCACCCUGAGAGAGAUUCUGAUUUUGGUCUUGACUGUGGCUACCUGGAAAGAGAACUGAUAUGUACAUCCUUACUUGUAACUGGUUGUGGUCACACAGCUAAGUUUGACCAAGAAGAUGCAGGUGGACCGUAAGUCCUUAAUGAGAAGGAAAAUAAUGCCUUACCUUUCUUUUGCUCCUUCUCACUGGCCAGAAUGAACGAAGAUGGCUGAAGCUGGAGUUUUUCUCUGAAGCAACCACCUUCGACAGGCAUCAUGUCGAAGAUGCCUGAGUAAUACGACAGAGGGGAUCUGGGUCCCUGGUGGAUGUUCCAGAUCUGGGUGUUCAUGGUGAUAUGAGAAAGCAGUAAACUUCAGUUUUGCCUAAAUAGCUGUUACUUGGGGCAUUCUGUCAUUUACGGACAAAUCUGACCUGGAUUAAUAUACUCCGCUGGGUACCAAGACUGAUCUAAUAGUCAAAAAGGUUUCAUUCCGUCUAGAUGUUUCUCUAGAACAGGACCUAAAGUUCUUUAACUGAAUUUCUUACGGAAGUAAUAGGAGAGUUCCUUGUGCUUCGUUAAAUGCUGUAUUGGUAAAUAUAUAUGAUUUACAAUUAUAUGCAAAUAUAAUAAGCUAUAAAUCAUUGGAUUCUGAUAUUUUUAGUUUAGUCUCAUUAAUGAACUGCUAAGAAAUCUUGGAUAACAUAUCUAGAAUAAUACUCUCUCUCUCGAAUGUGGUAUGGAUCCUUCUCUGUAUCCUGUGUUGUUGGUCUCAUCCAUAUAUCCGUAAGUGUCUGGUCAGCAUGGCUGUCGAAGGUUUACUUUGGGACUUACAGAGAAUUCUUAGUCUUUGAUCAUUAACCUGAGGACUGACCCAGCAAAACUGAAGCUCUGACUGACUUGAGUGUACUCUCAGCAUCUUUCACUUUACCGCCUGUAUUCUCUGCAUAUGUGAUAGAGAAUAUAAUUUUAAAGUCUGUGUGGAAAAAAGUACUUCUACUGGAAAUCCAAACUGAAAUUCGAUCCUUCUUUUUUUCAGCUCAUGAUAUUUUCUUUGUGAGAUCAUGUACCAUUUCCUGGCUCCAGAAGCUGGAAGAGGUGACUGUUACAGCUUAAUCAUUUUGUCAGAGGCGUUUGAACCAGAGUAACUCCAUCUUGAAUAGGGGCUGAGCAAAAUGAG